rnacentral:rRNA from 1 species
CCAGACUCCUACGGGAGGCAGCAGUGGGGAAUAUUGCACAAUGGGCGAAAGCCUGGUGUAGCGACGCCGCGUGAGUGAAGAAGUAUUUCGGUAUGUAAAGCUCUAUCAGCAGGGAAGAAAAUGACGGUACCUGACUAAGAAGCCCCGGCUAACUACGUGCCAGCAGCCGCGGUAAUACGUAGGGGGCAAGCGUUAUCCGGAUUUACUGGGUGUAAAGGGAGUGUAGGUGGCAUAACAAGUCAGAAGUGAAAGCCCGGGGCUCAACCGCGGAACUGCAUUUGAAACUGUCAGUCUUGAGUACCGGAGAGGUCAUCGGAAUUCCUUGUGUAGCGGUGAAAUGCGUAGAUAUAAGGAAGAACACCAGUGGCGAAGGCGGAUGACUGGACGGCAACUGACGGUGAGGCGCGAAAGCGUGGGGAGCAAACAGGAUUAGAUACCCUCGUACA